GAGCGGACAAGCCGAUGUGACAGCUGAGCUGGAAGUUUGCUGGGGGAAACUUCUGUGCCGAAAACGACGUUGAAUAGACAAAAUAAACAUCCCCACCUCCAUCCCGCCUCACUGUUGCUCUCUCUCUCUCUCUCUCUCUCUCUCUCUCUCUCACUCUCACCCUCCCUUUGACAGGACACACUCGGGACAGGACAGAAGCCGGCCGGUAAAGCAGCCCAGAGAGCAUUUCAUUUAACGGACGCACACUAAAAGAAACAGUCCCUUAUAAACUCUGGAUAUCCCUCAUCCCCUGCUAAGAUACCUACUCCAGGGCACAGUUGAUCUUCUCAGCCGCUCCAUUGUGUUGGAUAUGAAUACUGCUUCAGCUGACGGUUUGUGUUUUUCUUCCUCUGGCAUCCUGCCUGGCACAGUAAAAAAGAUGAGGAUACAAAAGGGGGCUAAUAACCGUGUCCCCUGGUGUCAAACCUAAGUGUUUGACAGGGUCUCGCUCCACUGCGUGGCUAACAAACCAACAGUGUGUUUCACUCGCUGCGAAAUUGGAACUGACGGAGAGUUAAUGUGAAGAGCCUGGACAACAGACGUUUUGUGUGGAUGUGAAUUAAAGACUCUUAAAAAAUUCCCAUGCAUACAAGUCUGUGUAAGAACUUAAACUUUCCUCACAACACACAUACUGUAGAUAUACUGCGCUAUAUCCUGUUAUAUUUACUCUAGUGAAGAUACACCAGCUACGGCUGGGCAAUAUAUCAAUGUGAGAUAUGUAUCUUUAUAGGAGAAUAUUUAUGUCUUAGAUUUUAGAAGCAAGUGUUCUGGUUGUAAAGUCUGCAUUACAGUAAAUUGCAAUUUCAAAUGAAUAUAUCAGACUGUUCUAGCAGUUGUAGAUCACAUAAGAGUCAACCUUCCUGCCAUUGCACAGAGCACAAGUACUGAGACAUCAACAUGGAGUUGGCAUCUCACCAGAAGCAGUACAUGUGUAGUAUAAUAUAAAUAUAUCAAUGUGACAGAUAUAAAAUAAACUAAAGUAUAUACACUGUGAACUAGGGCUGCAUGAUUUGGGGAAGAACUCACAUUAUUGUGGAGAAUAUUGCCAUUUGCGGUAUAAUAAACAAAUGGUAUCAUGGGAUUGACAAUGCAAAGACUACUGAUCAUUUUAAAUGGUGUGUUUAUCAAGUCAUACAUACACAAGUAUCAUAAGAAAUGCAGAAACUAAAACAUUUGAGUACUGUUUUUAUCUUCUUUGGAAAUAAAGGUGUUUAUGCAAAUAAUGAAGACACUAGACACAAUAAAUGAACACACAUAGACAGUUAUUGACUGUUUUUAUGAUAUGAAUGAAUAUGAGACGUGAGGCUGCUGUCAUCGUGGAGCUGCAACUAGUUAUAUUAUUACCUUUACCAGCUUCCUGAUUAAGUCCACAUUACUGAUUAAAAUUGUGCAUAUAUUUUACGAAAGUAUAAAUGGUCGACCCUACCAUAUAGUGACCAUAUCACAAUGAAGGUAUUUGAUCAGAUAUGGGUGUUGGGAUAUGAUUUUCUUUAAGUAGCCCAGUUAUAAUACAAACUUAUAAAUCGUUUGCUCUGAUGGGGGAGAAUCUCCAAGCUGAAGUGUGUGCAGGUGCUGUGUCUCCUCUUGACAUCUAUUAGAGAGAGAGGAUUCAUGGGGGGGUGUUGGCCACCAACCAAAACACUCAGCUGAUUGG